GACGAAGGGGGCUAGCGUUGUUCGGAAUUACUGGGCGUAAAGCGCGUGUAGGCGGUUAUCCAAGUCAGGUGUGAAAGCCUUGAGCUCAACUCAAGAAAUGCACUUGGUACUGGGUGACUAGAGGACCGGAGAGGAUAGUGGAAUUCCCAGUGUAGUGGUGAAAUACGUAGAGAUUGGGAAGAACACCAGUGGCGAAGGCGGCUAUCUGGACGGUUUCUGACGCUAAGACGCGAAAGCGUGGGGAGCAAACGGG
rnacentral:rRNA from 1 species